GGUGAACAGUUGGACUGGACGAUCCUGGAAGUCUUUUCCAACCUUGGUGAUUCUAUGAUUCUGUGCUUUUCUCCCCUUGAGUGUUUGGGUGUCUUCUCAAGAAGUAGAAAUUCUUGUUCUUGCUGUGCACUGAGGAGAUUAGGAUGGUAUCACAAGGGGAGGGAGCUGUGUUUUCCUAAAAGGUGAAUUAUUUAAGGAGGGGGAGAAGGAACAGCCAGCAACUGUUUGGGGGAGAUGUUUUCCAGGGGAAGGAGAAAAUGCACAGUAUCACUGCUGAGACCAAUUGCACUGAAAAACUUUAAGAAAAGAGAUAAUUGUGAGGGUAUCCAACGUCUGGAGCAGGAAAAUGUGCUCACCGAGGGUGAAGUGGCAGAGAUCAGCGUUCAGAUUGAAACUUCUAUUCUAGGGAAAGAAUGGGGUGUUUUUUUUCUAAUAAUCCAAUGAAAUGUUCAUUUAACAGAGAAGAAAAAUGUAAAUGUAGGAAACCUUUCCGCACCCGGGCUGAGAAAUCCCUCAGAGGCACCAGUGCCCUGAAUAGAUCCUGCUGCAGGCAGGUAAUGACUUGCAGCUCCCCGCUGCAAACAAAGCACUCCGCACCGCUGCGUGACAGCUGCAGGCGCGCCGUGCCUGAGAGAUGGCACAGUUAUUCUGAGUGCGGCCGACAGGAGUUUAUCUGAGGAUAAAAGAGGGAGGGAUUCCCUCCGCAAGGUCAGUGUGGGAGAGGGAUGGGCUGAGCAGCUGUCCGUGCUCACCAGCCUUAAUCCAGGCUGUUCUGGGCAGCUCCAGCGCAGGGCAGGUUGGGCUGGAUGCCGCCGAGGCCAUCUAGGAAGUAAUUCGCUGUUUUGCUGAUAUCGUUUGUUGUUGUUGUUUUGCUUUCUUUUUUAUUUGUAUGGAAAACAAGUGCUCAGGGAGUUCCUGAAGGGAGGUCACGCUGUUCCUCCCAUGGGGUGCACUCCCAGCAGCACUGUGCUGCUGACCUCGGGGCUCCUGGCACUGCACCGAAUGCCCCGAUAGUCCAUAAAUUCAGACGGUCACCAGAGAUAAUGUUAUGUGCUUGCAGAAGAAUGGGCCUUUGUCCGAGUGAGCCGAUCACUGACUUUGCUGGGAGGGGGAGGGAGCUGUCUUCCUUUCUGUGUAUUUCUAUUCAGCUGCUGCAGAAACAUCCCCAUCUGCUUUGAAUCUACACUUUAAUUUCAAAUCCUAGCAAGAAAUGAAGCAAGCCAGCUUGCUAUGCCUGGCAGAGGACGCACAUGGCGAGUUGCUGAACCCAAAGCUGUUCCAAAUGCCAGGAAUGUUGCAGACUUUAAUGCUAAGUUACCUGGCUUUGUGCUCUGCUCAGUCAUACAGUGGGAACCAUCAGAACCGAGUUCUGUUGGUCUGUUCUUUAAGUGCUGCCAGUAGCUCAGCAAUACGUGCUUUCUUUGUUGUCUUCUCUGCUAGGACAAUGUGGUUUCAGGAUGUGACACAGUGGGAAAAAAAAACAACAAACCCGUGUCAUUUCUCUGGAGAAAGCAGGCAAUGGGCAUUUCCUGCUCUCACGCACAAUUAAUGGGAUAGACAAGACAGAGAGCACAAAUUAAGUUGUUAAUUAGCCUUAUUUAUACAGCAGUAGCGUGAAUUCAUGUGGUCUGACAUGGUUUUUGCGACUAAGAGUAGAAUCUUGCAUGCCUGGAUGCAUAUAUAUGCAUAUACAGAAAUGCCUAAGCACUUGUUUGUGCUGUAUGAUCUGCGCAGUCCGAGUUCUUGUUUGCCUCUCUCAGAGAAGGAAAUUUUAUCCCUAACUGUCAACAGGUGUCAGAAACAGAAGCAGCUGGAGCCAGAGCUGUACAAGAUUCCUGUUCUGAUCUGAUAACUUGCAAAUAAACCACAUGCAACCCAGGAAAGGCUGAUGUUGGUGCAGACCCUUGGCUUGCUUCUGUCCUGUUCUGUGGGCUGUAGCCAGGGGAUAGCGAGCGAUACACAGGCUAUCUCACAGGCUGAUAAGAAGCAGAGCUGCCUCUUAAAUAGCUCGUAGCUGAAAGGAAUCAUAGAAAUGUGAGUUAUUUGCAUCACAUCCCAGAGAGAGUAUAAUUUAAGGGAAUUUUUUUGUGAUGGAAAGAAAAUGGACAAGUGAAACUGUUGAAGCAAACCUAAGCUGCUAGCUGUGAGAAAAGACAGAAAAGGAGAAGAGGGUUUACUGUGAGCUGAAAAGAAUUGAAAGAUGCCCAUUCAAACGCUUCAUCUGCCUGCUAAUUUUAAUUAAGAGUCCUCCUUUGUAACUACGGCACAGAGCCUGAGUCUUUAAAAAAAAAAAAAGAGUUGUCACUAGGCAGAUUUCUGUGAGCCUGCUGAUUGAAUCAUCAUUUUAAUCUCCUCGCCGCCUCCCCCCCCGGCCCCCAGCAGAAGCUACCGGGCGCCUUACACGACAAUUAGCGUGCUGGGAAAUGCUGCCGCGCUCCUCGGGGAGUUCCUGCGGUGCACAGCUCCGGAUUGCUGCCUGACUAAAAGGCUGAAACCUGCCAGUGUUAAACCAUCCCGUGCUCUUUGAAGCCUGGAUGCGGAUCUGUUUUUCAGCAGGAAAAAGUAUUCCCCCUCAACUCUUUAUUAUUUUAUUGUAGAGGAAAAACUAUUCCUUUCUCCCAGUUCCUCCCAUUUGCCCCCUCCUUCAAAAAUAACCCACUGGACUUCGGGGAACUUGCCACAUGCAGUGGGCUUUGCAAAGAAAAAACAGAGAGUGACAGAAAAUGCUUUUGUGUGCAUUUUCGUGGUGCUCUGGCACCUUCCUGGAUCCUUCCUUGCCCUACUGGCUCUUGCCCAUGAGCACGGCGCUAGAAGCAGCUCUGUGCCCAGCAGAGUCCCAGCUGGGGUUACUGAACUGGUGGUCACUGUUUCCAGUCAGACAGCACCCACUGGCCCAAUCCCCUCUCCCAGCAAAGCCAAAGGAGCAGGCAGCAAACAACAGUAAACAAAUCCCCCCUCUGCCUUCUCCCCCUGCCACGGCUGAAAGCUGCAGCUCCAGCCAAGGUCUGCCCACGGGGCUGUGCUAAUUGAGAUGCUGUUUGGCAGCAGUCUGCGUCCUUGCACAAAUGCUCACAAAAUGACUAAUUAAAAACAAGUCUCUUGCCCCGCUUCCUUCCUUCAGCAAGUUAACUUAGGCACGUUUUUCCUUUCAUUAUUUUAUGGACAACAAUAAAGAACACGCUAAGGAAAGAGUGCUUCAGGAGCAGUUCUGUCUGACAAAAUACCAGCGAGGCUGUCCUGUUCUUCCCCCACACCCCAAUGGCAGCCCGCUGUGCUAGGAAGAUGGAAACCAGAGGAAGUCGUGAAAGGGGAAAGGUGGGCUGGUCCCAACAGCUUGGAAUUAUAGCACAAAAGGAAGAAAUAUGCUCAAGGAAGAAGCCCUGCUUCUGUUGCCCUGAAGUCCUCUGGACACUCAGUGUGCGGGUAAAGAGCAGCUGAGCGAGCUGAGGGCGGCACGGAGCUGGGUCUGUGCUGGGGAACCCCUCGGUCCAGCUGCCCAGCUGUGCGACUGUGAUCCGCAGCCUCCGCAAGCAGCAGCCUGGUGCCAGGCCGGCACAGCGCCUCAUUACAUCAUGGGCGACUGCGGCGUAAGCGUGGAAACAUGCAAGGAAUGGGAGUAGCGUCAAUUCAGGAAGACUAAGCGGGUUGUGUAAUGGGGAAAACCAGCUAAUGCAGGAGGAGAAAGCAACAACGAGGUGACGGCUCAACUGGCAGCAGAACGAUUUCCACACUGAUCUGAGCUCAUCAGGCAACAGCUGGAUUUUGUUCUUCCUGGCAGCUGCUUGGGAAACCUUAAUACAACUCAAUAAAGGGCUCAAGAGAUGAGCAGAUGAAACAGUGUUUAAACACAUAGCCAUGCAGGUCUUGGGCGUCUUGUGGGGAUUUGUAAAAGUGUUUCAGUAGUUAAUAUAAUUAAAAACUUACAAGAAUUACAGGAGUAGCUGCUGAACCUCUCAGUGCCCCUGCAGGGACAGUCCUAGGGCCCGGUCCACCAGGAGCCAGGCACGCAGGUUGGGCGGGCAAAGACCAAAUACUAACAGGCAAAGACCCCCUGCUAGGCACUGAGCCCUGACGCACCACCCCGCAGCAGCCAGCUCUCCAACACAUCUGGCAUGUGGUCAGCUAUCCCCUCUGCCACUUGUGGGACUGCUGCUGACCUCCACGAGAUCCCAGCAAUAUGUGGACAGCCACUAAGAGCAGCCUUAUAGACUCAGAUCGGGCAAUAGCAAACACACCUGGAGCUGUGCUGUUGGACCUCCCUCACUAUGCAGGGGGACUUCAUUUCAGAGUUAUAAGAAAAGCAGGGCUCGCAUUUCCUGAUGUAAAACCAUCUCCGUAUGCUGGCAGCCAGACCUCAAUGCACAAGGACAGAAUAACUUGAUUACUCACCCGGAAACCUGUCUUGCUCCGAAAUGGUUAACUACUUUUUGUUUGGAGUAAGGAGAGGGCAGGGAGUGAAAGGAGCGAUCUUCACUUGUUGGGGUUUGAUUCAUGUAAACUGUUCGGAGCACCUUGACAGGCUUCGGGAUAUACGGAGCUAUAUAUAGCAAUGUGAGUUGCUAUAUUAGUGAGCGUGACGCUGUGUGCAAGCCAGAAUAUUCCUAAAUGUCUUCAGACAUGUGCUUUCCUUCCCUCCUCCAGCUUUGCAUAGGUUAUUCUAAAUCAUUUGAGCAUUAUCUGAAGUCAUUUUUCUUCCCUUUUAAGGUAGUUAUCUCUGUGUGAAUACUAUGUCCUCAUGUACUAUGUGCUCAGAACCUCACAGUUUGUCUCCACUGAAUAAAUACUUUUAUUGUAAAUCUCCCAUUACAUAGGUUAUUCUGCAGUGAGCAGGUUAUACAAAGACUUGUUACUGGAAGAGAGUAGACGUGCAUGAGGGUCAGCAUAUCAAUGCACCGGGAGGCUGAUGGCACCUCCAGAACCAUUACCUGUCCCCAUCCUCAAUCUCUUGGAGGGCCUUUAUUCCCCAACACUAACCUAAGAAAUAAAUAACUCUUGCUAGCCUGUGCAUUCACAGAAAUCGUCUAAUUCCUGCUGCUUGUACUCUGAGUUUCAGUACACUGUACUGUGUGUGAACUACUUUUUCUGAGUUUAAAUGCAAAUGCUGAGUGAUUUGGGAUGGAAUGGUGACCACUCCUACUUCGGGCCCCACAACAUUCUCCCUGGGCAGGUUGUUCUUAGGGCAGCAAAGCUCAUGGAGCCUGUGGAUCCUUUGGGAUUUGCUUUUCUAUGGUGACUGCAAAUUUCAGCAGGAGUUUUUCCCAUGGCUGGAACACACACAAGAUCUCUCUCCCGUGAGGAUUCUCUGGCAUUUCAUUACAUGUGAAGUUAUGCAUUGGCCAUUCCCUCGCUGGGAAUGUUUACAGGGCUUUCCUCCUCCACCCGGCUUCCGCUCGUCACAAACAGUAGGAGCACUGAUGGCCACACCGCUGAAACCUGGCUGCCUCCGACUCUUUGUGGGGAGUACAUAUGCAUGGUAUCAUCACUUACUAUUCAUUUCUUUCAUUUUGCUAGUCAAGCAGCUUAACAUGUAUUCUGCUAGUUCCAGAUGGAUGUAUGGUGGUAGUAGUUCAUGACAGCAGGCAGAAUGGUCGUUGAUGUUCAUGGGUGAAAGAAAAGUGUGUAAAAGGGCAGAAAGCUUAACUGCAAGUCAGAGGGAGAAGCUAGAGAGCACUGUCUGUAAGAGCUGUGAGUGGAGAGGAGACAACAGGGAAGCGUAAUUCCUAUGCAAGCCUGGAAAAGUUUGUUCCAUCAACUCCUGGACUCUGUAGGGUGGAUAGGGUGGAUGGUGUGCUCCUCAGGAGGCAACGGGAGUGGGUUGGUGGGAGAUUCUCCCUGUCUGAGGUUUUUGAGACAGGUGAGAAAGUAAGAAGUUACAACCAGCUGUCAUGUGGUGCUGGCAGGAAGGCUGUGCUUUGGAUUGACAGCUUUCUGGCAGCUGAUGGCUUAGGGAGGGUAAAUCAGACAUGCACCCAGAGCAAAAUGCUGCAGAAAUAGACAGCGCUGAGAGGUGCUGCAACUGAAAAAAAUGCUGGGUUGCCUUGACGCAGGGUUAGCUGUGCAGCUGCACGAUGAUGAUUUUGUGCUGGGCAACAAUUUUUCCCACAGAAUAACUUCAAACAUGUUAAAAUGAAAGGCUUGAGAGCCUCUGAACCAAAAAGGCCCGGAAACUGGGAGUAUGCUGGGGGAAGUCCUUUCCUAAUUUCUAAUUUAGGAAGGGAACUAUUUUGGAAACAGUUGAAGGUGGCUGCAAAGUUUGGUGACAGGAACUGAAAAAAAGAGGCUUGAGGGAUGUGAAGGGAAGAUGAGCAGUCACAGGAACAGAACACAUGGGGCUGCAAAGAACUGAGCGAGGAAAGUGCUGCUCGUGUCCAGACACAGAUGCAGCGCUUGAUUAGAUUAGAGAUAUCAAAUGUCUGGUCUUCUUUGGCCACGGGGAAGAAAGCAGUGAGAUGAAAGGAAGGAUCUCUAAGGAGGGCAGGAACAGAUGAGCAAGAAUGUGCAGUGGGGAAGGUUAGAUAUGAAAAAAGAGGUUAUGAACAUAGUGGAAGAAAAAGCUUACGAAAGCAAGUUCUGAAAUAAAGCAGUGAUGCUUUACAGCUUAUAGAAAGUGAACAGAGCAAGCAAGAGGUGAAACAAAGUUUAUAUAGCCAAGAAAGGAGACUGUGGAGAAGCAAGGCUUUCUGCUUGCUUUCUUUUAAUGCCACGUCACAAACAAAAGCAUAAGAUUUGGCUUUUUGUGGAUUACCUAUUCUAGACUACUGUGGUGUGACCUAACAGUAACAGUGACAGAUGUGACAACGUAAAGGUCUUUGGUGACAACAUGGCCAAAUACAGGUGACCUGGGAGAAGCGGUUAGGAUGAUGUCACUCACCUAGCUAAUUUCUAAUCGCUGGCACAAAUUCCCAUUUAAAAUGAUCUAAUGGCUUAUCCGAUACCUUCCCUGUGACCCGUGGAACCGAAUCUGUGUCAUGGAGUAAGGUCACUAUGCUGUCAGCUGGGUGACAAGCUUCGUCUGAGUGUUGACUUGGAAUUGCAGACCGUGGGCCGUAGGCCAAGGGAUGUCGAGCGUGCCACGGGGGUGACGCGCGGUCCCGGCGGGAGGCUUCCAGCCCAUCAGCACGCGGCCGUGCGGCCCCGCGCCAAUUCAUGGAAAGGCAACAGGCAACGCCGAGGGGAGCGGCCGGCCCGUGUACAGAUGGGCCCGGUGCCGCGCAGGCAGCCGCUGGCACUGGUGCAAGAGGGAGGCAGCCUGUUGGCUGUCCGCGCCCAGCUUUCUAAGGAAGCAAGCGGCAUGCCGGAGAUAGCCUGUUUGCUCUGGCCAGAAUGUCUGGUGGUUUUGCAAGAGACAGAGCAGCCGAGGGCAGAUGUCGCACUGCUGUAGAUGGGGUAGCUCCACUGAUUUUAGCAGAGCCGUGCUGAUUUACCUCUGUAGAGUUUGGGCUUGAGGCCUGAGCGAUGGCAGUAGCGCAACAAGGUUGUUCCAUGCCGCACAAGACUAUAGUUCCAGAUAGUUCUGGCCCAACAUAGACAUGAACCUGCUACUGCUAAGAUACAUUUGCACUGGGUUUCCUUGGAUUCCUGCGUUGCUUGGAGCAGGUAGCAACCUCGUUGCCGCAGUUCCAUUCUUCAAACAAUGCUGUGACAACCGCACCACGCGGGGCCUGCCAGGUUCAGGCAAGGACACAGCAAGUGAGCGUCAGCAGCAGAGCUGCAAAUGAGGUAAUGCAUUAUCAGCAGGCAGGUCAGGGCUGUGUGUAUCAGCUCCUGAAGCAGAGGGACUAAAAAUAACUUUCUAUUGCAAGUACCCAUUUCCCGAAGAAGGAAAUGCCCUCGUUUAACACCUCCCUCCCCAAACAAACCAGGAAUGACUUACAGCAGUGCCUGCCUCCCUCGAUACCCUGGGGGUCUGGCUGGAUGGCUGCACCAAGUGCUCUGCAUUCCCCUCUGGAGGGUGGCCAGGUGUCAAGAGCAGUAUUAAGACCCAAGCAGCACCAGCCACAUCCCCAUCACCUGACUGCUACCAUGGAUAGUAUUACAGCCACCAGUCCCUCUCUCAGCAGUGUGUCUGCACAAGUUUGGGGCCAAGCUGCCCCUUGUGUCUCCUGAGGCACAUGCACAUCACCAGACCAGCACCUGGGUGCUGAACAACUUACGUGGCAGCUUCCCACUUGGGUAGGUGCCAUGCACAGAUAAGCAUUUGGCUCCUGGUACCAAUCCACACCUGUACACAGAAGCCAGAGAGAUCUAUGCAAAUAAUAGUUCUGCUGUGUGUAUUAAAAAAAAGAAAAAAAAAAGCACUUUUGCACUUUUUGCUUAUAGUGUGGCCUAGGAGGUUUACUUUAGAUAAAAUGCAGUGGAUGUUCUAAACAGUUAUGUAUGAGGAAGUAUACAGGACAGCACACUGGUGUGAAGGAAUGCCUGCUGGAGCUCUGGAGCUUGACUUGAGCAGAGGGGAGAACUGCACAGGGCCCUGUUUUUCAAGAGCAGUGGCAAAAAAAUAUGUUCAGCUUGGGUUCUCACAUUUAUGCAUCUUCACAAAAAAGUUUGUUCACCUGAUUUCUUUUGGCAUCACAUUUCACUACCUUGCACGUGAUGCUUUUAUUACUGACCAAUUUCUUAUUCCCUGUCUCCUUCUAAUUAUUACCUUGCUAGAUGUUGAAGUCACAGAGUAUGCUAAUUCUGUCUAAUUAGAGUGGCAGAUUUACAGCUCUGCUACUACAGGCCAAUAUAAUCUCCUGAAGACACCGAGAACCCUCAGGAGAGCAGAAAAGUUUGCAGUAAGCAAAUACAUACACACAACCUCAAAUGAAGCAAAAGAUUUUUUAAAAGACAUUAACUAACAGAUGUACAAGAAACAAGCUUUCCUGAAACAAAUAAUCCAUGGCCCAUGUCCUAGUGACCCAAACUACAGGUGUUUUAUUAACACAUAUAAGAAAGAAGCUGAAACAGCCAUUGGGACAGGCAGGCUGAAACUCCUCUGUAUUUGCACAUUUGCAUUAGUUGACUCAGGACUGGGUUGGGUUUUGUUUCUGCCUAGCUACAAAAAGUGCACUGAGGAUAAAAAGGACAAUUAAGCACCACUGCUGAGCAUGUCUCUUUUUCCCAUGCUGCACACCCUGGCAACAAAUCAAUUUUGUCUUUCGCUGUGAGACUUUCUCCCUCGCUGCCUGCUUGGAAUUACUCUCCCACAAUCCUCCCAAGCAACUUUUUUUCCCUCUGCAGUUUCUUCCUGCCAGUUGCCACUUUAGUAAAUAGCACAGAAAAAGCAAUAACUUUAUUUUUUCCAUUCCCUCUAAAGGUUAAAUAUAGGUGAACGUUUUAUUCUUUAUAACAAGUAAUUGACAUGCAUGAGCCAACUUUCUGUUCAGAACAUAAUUUGUAUUCUCAAGAGAUCUGUGCGUAUUCUUGUUCAUAUUGCUUCUCCCCUGAAGGGAUCUGGGAGGGGGAGGAGAGGGAGAGGCUUUUAAAGUUUGGCUCACAGAAGUUAUAGAGAAAGAUCUAGGCUUUCAGCUCCAUCAGAUAAACAGUAAUGUAACUGCACGUACAGUACUGUGGCACGUAUUGAUAGGAAAAGAACAGAGUAAAUAAGGGGAAGGGAAGGGGGAAGGGAAGUCAGCAAGCAGAGAAAAAGAGAUUAUCGCUCAGCACCCAAGGCAGCUUGCUGCUAGAACAGAAAUCGCCAGAAACAUUGAUCCAGAAAUUUGGUGGGCUUGCUUUCCUCACUGCAGGUAUAAUUCAGGUGGGAUUGUAAAGGAAGCUUUCCAAUUAAGUCAUAUCUGUAUGCUUAGGUAGCUCUUGUUUAAUCAAACUUAAUGAUUUGACUCCAAGAUCACUGAAACCAGAUCUACUUCGUUCACUCCUGUGGGUUUACAAUUAAGUCACUGCUUUUAGGGAGUGUGGUGGGGGUGCUUAAGGAGUGUGCUCUUUUUUUUCUUUUGGGUUUGGUUUUUUUUUUUUUUGGUAUGAUUCAAGAGACUUCUAAUGUGGUUACAUCUUCUUGUGAGAAGGUUUUUUUGGAGUUUAUGUACAAAAAGAGUGUGAGCAUGUACACGGUGCCUGCAAUGUAGGACAGUGGCAGUAGGCUGCGGUCCCUUGGUUGGGUCAGGGGUGUGGUGGUGCAGCCACACAGCCCCCCCUACUCCACCAGCUGCCCGCUGCCACCUUGGACCUUUCAUUUCACCCCUGCAGGGUGAAGCUUUGUUUAAGAGGACAGAGCUCCAGCCCCAUUGCAUAUGGGUUUUUCAAGAUUAGACAAAGUGAUGAACUGCGUUAGCAGUCAAUGUGAAAUCGUGUCAAGGAGUCAAUAUUCACACUUUCACUACAAGGGCAGGUCCUGUCUAUCAGAAGUAGCAUUCAAAGCUUGCAGCAUUCAAAUACGUGGUUUCAGAAGAGUCAGUGGUGUAUUUCUAUGUGAGAAAAUGUAAUUUACGGACAGAGCUGACACAGGAUUAUAUACCAGUAGCACAUUAUCAUGGCAACUUCAAGGAACUUAGUGGAUGAAUGGUCUUCAUGCUCCUGAGGUUACAGCCCCCUCACGUUGCCCCUUACUUUGGCUGCCCACUACACCCGUGCGUAGGCAUGCUUGACACACAGAUGCCACUUAUCUAGUAGAAAAAUUGUUCUAAAUACCAGCAGCUUACCCAGACACAGGCACCUCUCUGGUAGAGUGAAGCUGAAAGAGUACCACGAGUUUAUUCUUUCCACUCAAACUUUAUUUCAGACAGGUGUGCAAAGGGAACAUAGCAGAGAGAUUUAAAUAGAAGCUUAAGCAGACUGUAAAUUUCCAUCUACGCUAGGUCUAAUUAAAGCGAUGAACGCACUCGAGACUGAGAAUUUUGUUUAGAGUAAUCCCCUUAUCAAAAUUGUCAUGUGCCAGGAAAUGUUAGAAGCAGAGUUUCUCAUUCCCCAUGUUCUUGAACUGCCGUGUCUGCCAUUUAAAUGCCACCACUUCUCAACAGCUUUCAGCUCAGCCCACAGAGGUUUCCCACAGCAGCUACUGGCUGAGUGACGAGCCCCUUACUCAUACAGGGGAUGAGCUCAUCCCACAAACAGCUCUGCUGACUGCGAUGGGAUCACGUUUAGUUAUGACUGCACCAACGUCAAAUGUUUCCAGCUCCGUAGCACUCAUGCAGAACGUUUUGAGAUAAUCAGCACACUGGUGCUCCCAGGGGUUACAGUCAUUGGAUUUUUUGCUCCUUCUGUGAGGGUGAGUGAUAAGCCCAUACACAGCAGACAAGUGGCAAUGUGUCACAACUGCAAGCCAUGCUUAGUCUGAUUUUUUUUGUUGUUGUUACCUUUCUACACAGAGCUCUGUGCCUCUUCUGUCUCUUGUAUUUACCACAAAAGCAGUAUUUGAAGCUCAAAGGUGCAAGGAUUUUCUCCACAGUACAUUGUCUCACUCAGUCAGGUCCUGAGUUUUGCACCUCCAUCAUGUACUUGCAUUUACAACUAAUUAACAGAUUAUGCAGGACAAUUAUUAUUCAUCUGCUGUUUAUGUACUGCAGGAAUGUCUUCAGGUCUCAGCUGUGCAAGGGGCUCUGAAACAACACAUGAUGUGCUUUUGAUUCCCCUUACUGUUAUCUGUUCCUUCUCAGAAGGCUACACUGUGAGCUUCUUACACAGACACAGCUCAAACCACAUGUGAUCGCCCUGCAGUCAAUGGUACUGUAUGUGAGAUCAACUCAUCACUGUGGAAAAAUUGCUCCUGAUCAGGUUUACAGUUAAGGGAGAGAAAAAGACAAGAAGCUUUUCAGAGCAGGAACUGCAAUCCUACCCAGGGCAGCAGCCACGGGAUCUGGCAGCAGGUGCUCCAGGAUGGGGGAAGCCCUCCUGAGGCCACUGAUGCUAUAUCCACGUGGAGCCACUGGGUCACCCGCUCCCCUCGUGGUCCUCCUCCCAGUGUCCUAGGGAAUGGUUUCCCUGCCAGCAUUUGGCUGCCUGCUAUGAAACUUUCUUUUUUGAGAACUGCUAUGUAAUAACCUAAAAUAGCAUGCCUCAUCCAUCCUGAAUGCAGCUGGGCAGAGUUCCUUCAUAAUAUCUGUCAUGCCUAAAAAUAUUCCUGUUAUGAAAAUAGAGGCAGAGAUACUAUGUCUGUUAUUGUGCUCUGUUGCUGUGUUUAGUGUAAGUGCAUGUGGAUCAGGUCUGAGGUUGAGCUGCCUCAUCCAUGGAGCAUGAAUGUUGUACUGAAGAAUUACCUAAGGGCUUGAUAUCAGACUACUUGUCCGUAGCCCUACUGCUGCACUAUCGGUGAUCCCAAACCAAAGCAGAGGAUAUGAAAAGCAGGGCAGGAAACACCCCUCCAGAUUCUCAACUUGUUCAGCCUUCCCUGCAAAGCAGUGCUAUUCAAUGGAAGACAGCAGAGGGGGAGAGAGUAAAACACAACCAAGCCCUGUGAGGGGGGGUGAAGAGUAACAUUUGAACAUUGCCAAGGAAGGACGUUAAAGGAGGGCACAAAGUAGGCAAGGUGCACUUCGGCUAUGUGUAGAGGAUGAUGUUGGUGAGGACUGUGGUAACAAAGUAGAAAAGUGGGAGGUAUUUUAGAUCAUAUGUGGUUUUCCUCCUCCUAAAGUUUUAAGUCACAGGAAAAGCCCAUAGAGGAAUCAGAUAUGACCAUAGAAAAACAGGCACUGAUUAAGUCUCAGGAUAGAGGAAAACCCCAUUACUGGAGUGUUUAUCACAGCUUUUUUCUUUUUCUUCCUUUUUCUUUCUUCCUUUCUUGCUUCCCCAUCCUUCCUUUCACCCAGAUUAGGUGAAGUUAGAGAAGAUGCUUUAAAGUGCAGAGGGAAGCAAAAACCACACAAGCACAAACAUCUGCUGAGUUUAGGAGAACAGAAAGAAACAAGAGAAAGGAUGAAGCAAAGAAAAUAACCAAGCUGUCUCCAGUUCCCUCUGAACCUAGUCCAGGUCAGCACCAUUGCUGGCUAUACCACAAGACUUGCAAUCCAACAGGAUGCCAGAUUUUAUGAAAGGAUGGCUAUUUCUCACAAGUGCUAUCUUUACAUCAGAUUACAAUGUUUCCAUGGUAUUUUUACUUUUUUUUUUUUUUUUUUUUCAUGACAGCUUUGCAACUUUCCUUGCUUCAUGGUUCUACAACCAUUAUCUCUGUGCAUGCACUCAACUUCUGAAAACUACUUCUUAACUCCCUGGAGGGAAAGCCACGAUCACAUGAGGCAACACACUUUCCUGUCCACUUCUGUCUGAAGAAGCAGUAUCCCUUCCCAAAGACUGCCAUUUUUCCUCCUAAAUAUCCCGAUCUAGUGAAAAUUCAUAGCUAUAUAUGCAAUCAACAUUUUAAAAAAGAUUUCUAAAGUCCGUAUCACAGCCUAUAAGAUUCUUCAGCGCACGCAGAGGAAUUUAGGUACUUUCAGGUUAGAACAGUUUUGGCAGAAUAAAGAAAACCAGAAGCAGCAAUGAAGAAACAAAAUCCUGAAAGUACAGGAUGUGUCCUUCUCUGUUUAAGGCUGCAACAUUGUUGGUAGGCAAGAUUAGAUAUGCAAAGAUGAAGUAAACAAAAAGCAUAAGGACUGCAAAGUAAAUAUUUGGGUGUUUUGGCAAACUGUUUGUGGGUGUUUUGUGCUUCUAAAUUUGUUUGUGUUAAUGUCUGUAUCCAAUUCACCUUCCAAAGGAGAGAUAACUGCAAUGAUCUAUCUCCUGCCCACAGUCCUCCCCCCAUCAAUAUUUUUGCUUAUCUCUCUUCUCAUGUUUCUUGUUGUUUCAAACAGCUCUUUAGCAAGCCACAAAAAUGUCAGCUAUCCAGCUAACUCUAAGAGGAACCCAGCUGAAGUAAAUACUCCACACAGGCAUACUGUCUUCCUUUUCCAUUUCUUGGUUAGUCCUCUUUGGGCCUGCUACAUGGAGAUUGAGAGCCUUUAAACUGUUCAGUGAGACCACGCGCUACAGAAACUAUUGCUUUCCCAGCACUGUGUUUCUAUAGCAACCGCCUUAUUAAAGCACUGCAGCCAUCUGCUUUAAAUAUUAACUUCACAAGACCAUCAGGACUAGCUUAAAACAAUAUCACAUGUUCAUUAAACAUUAAAACAAGAAACAAAAGGAGAAAAUGACAGGAGAGAGCUUUUUCCUGUUCCUUCUAUCUAAUCUUUGGAAAAAAACACAACACUGGUUUGCUUGCUUUAGAUAAUUUAACAGUUCGUGCCACUGCUUUAGAAAUAACUGUUUAAGUGACCGCACUAGCUGCUGGUGGCAUAAACUACAACUUUCUGGGUGCUGCAAAAACAAACAACUGAAGAAAACAGCUUCUUGGGGUAGGUGGUCGCUUUGAGCAUGCUCACCCUAAUAACAGAGUUUCUUUGCCCUGCUUUGGCAGCAGUAACUCUCCCAGGCGCUGUGGCGAAGUCUUUAGAGGAAGGAGCAGAGAGGAGAAUAGCCAGCAGCAGCUGAGAAGCACCACAUUGGAGGAAGCGCUGUUUUAUUGUUGUCUCUAAAGGACAGAUGCUUGGAGGAAGGUACGAAUGGUAAAGGGUUCUAUCACCUGCAGCUCGCAGCUCCCAAAGCGUGCCUAGGAGUGAGAGCCUGGAUGCUGCCCUAAUUCAUCAAAAUGCCUGCCACUUCAGAGGAACCUGCAUCAGCAACAGCAAGGUCCUUGGAUUGCGCACACCAGAUCAUACUUGCUUCCUUUUAGCAGUUUGAAAAAUGUCAGUUUUUACUUCUCCAAAUAUCUCUUCCUUCAAACUGUAACAGCACAGCUGAAGGGAAAGCUCUGCUUGCUCUCUUGCUGCUAGUGCAUGGCACCCAGAGUUCACCCUCAUGUUAUUUUUGCUGGGCUCCACUUGCUCCUCCCUAGUUCCCUGCUGCCCAUGUUGAGGCCCACACCCAGAGCAGGCUCUUGUAAUCAAAGCAGUGAUGCAUGAGAAUGUGCAGAAUGUGCCAGUUUCAUCUGAAAGUUUCACUGGACCAAAAAGAGGAGAAUUCAGAUCUUUCCAUUGCAAAACCACAGACCUCUGGCACUUGAGCAAAAGAAAAAAGUCUUUUCUAGUGCUCAGGUUCUCCAAAAUAUACUUCUAUCUCCAUUCAGUAUAGCAUAAUGAAACCAUACGUCACAUUAUGAUUAAGAACCAUCAGCUUCAUGUAAAACCAUCUGUUUACUGACCUCUCUUUACUGGUGCCUUGUAGUGCAAGUACCUACACUCAGCUGCUCUCAGUACUACCUAGAUCAUAGAAUCACAGAAUAGUCCAAUUUGGAAGGGAUUCAUAAAUAUAAUCGAGUCCAACUCCAGUUCCCAACUAAGAAUAAACAAUAUGAACAAGUAAAGCUGUCACUGGAAGGAUUUGGUCUUAAUGAGAGAAUUCAGGGGAGGAGGUUUGGUCUUAAGUAAUAUAUCCAUCAAGACAAUCUAUCAGUCUGUGGCAAAGAUACAAUGCCCAUGAAGGUGUUUGAUGUCACAGGGACUCAAGGAGAAAGAUAAAAGGGGUAGGAAUGACACUGAAGUAAGGCUAUGGGUAUGGCAUAAACUGAACUGAAAAGGAUGAGAAAAAGAGGCUGCUGAAAGACAAGAGUGCACCUGACCACCUAAUGCCUGAUAGAGGCUGGGACCCUCUUAGAGCAGUGUAACAAAACAACCCAUUGGUUUGGCUUCCAGCUUAUACAGUCUUACCCCUUUAUCAUGAGUCUUAUCACUGGCCCACUUCUUGAUUUUAAGUCCACAGAAGGGAGUUAGAUAGUCUUCUGUGAGAGAGCUCUUUGCUAUGCAUGAAAUAGCAGCAAUGAAGGUACAAUGAAGACAUGGUCUUCGCUCAAGAAAUGUACAGCCUAGUGAGUCAACAGACCCCAACAAAAGUGCAAAUGGCACAUUUUGCAAUUCAUCCUGUCUUCAUUUCCUCCUACUCGAUGACAGAGUUUAUCUGCUGUCACAAGGUAAUCUCUUUUCUGAAGUUCUGGGGUUUCAUGUGUUGUUAAUUCAAGGGCAGUAUCUCAAGAGGCAGGAACAGUGGUGAGUGCAGACACUGAGUCAGAAACUGCCUGGGUAGGUGUUCUGGGAGUUACAGUGGAUAUCAAGCUGGACAGCUGAUGUCAAAGACUUCUGAGAAAAAAGACAAUUUUUGUCCAGGCUACGGUCCCAUUUCUGCACCCUUGUCAGGCAUAAAGUUACUUGUCUUCUCAGCCUUGGCACAGCCUCAGCUGGAAUGUUGUAUCUGUUCAGAAAGAAGAAAGUUGAUCAAAAAGAGGAGACUUGGAAUAAUAUAGGAUUUCUGCUAGCAGAGGUCUUCAAGACAAAACUGUCCAAGUAUUUAUCAAGAGCAAGAGACUUACAAUUCAUCUGGCUUGGGAAAGGAGAAGGAUGAAAUGGCCUUUUCCUUGGCUAUUUCACACGCCUUUUGGGAGGUUUUGUUGUUGUUGUUGUUUGUAAGCAGUUCUGGAAAGCAUUUUGUGCCUGUGGUUUGUGCUGAGCAGAUACUCUGCAGGUUUGUUGAUGUUCCUACCUUGCCUUCAAAUGCUACAGGCAGUUGUUAACAUAACUUAAUGUAUUAGCCAACAGGUGCCCUGUGUAUUCUCCUCUGCAUGUGCAAAAAUAAUAAGCUGUUGGUCUGCUAAGGAACUCUGUUCUGCUGAGAAAACAACUAGUAAAGGAAACAGAGGGUAAAUGUGGUCCCUUUCUGCCCUCCUGGGUCAAGGAGUCCUCCCUCUGCUCCAUCUGGUGCUGCAAAUGUUGAUAGAGCAAUUCAGAUCCCAUUCAAAAUUCCCAGCUCUCAUCCAAUUAAGAGAUAUUAGUGGAAAACCCCUGCGGUAAAUACCACAGGUGUUCUUUCAUCUCUUUUCCGUAUUCUCUUGGUUUUUGGUAGAUUGGCUUUGCUGGUGGUAGGGAAGAGGAGCUUGGCAGAAAGUUAUAAUAUGGUCAAGAAUCUCUCAUACACACCCAUGGCAGAGAAAGCUGUGGCUUGUAGUAGUCGUUUGUUUCACUGAGGAAUUCUUUUCCCAUAACUACAGACUGACUGAUUAUUGAUCAGUGAAUGCUCUACAUAUAAGAAAAAUUACAUCCUGAGACUGUUCCCUGGCAGCUGGGCAAAACUCUUUACUAGGAAUUGCACCUAUGCAUCUGAAGGCAUAAUUAAAUUUUAGGUGUGCCUUUUGCUGAACUUGUUAAACAAGAUUUCCAUUACUUUUUUACCUAGAGGACAGACUCAUGACAGAGUCUGUAUUUAUUUUGAGAUACUCAUCUAAACUGACACAAUAGUGGUUACUCACCCUGUAGCAUACAAUGGCAAAUCUUACAGUAUUCUUUUACCCCCUGCCUCCAACUUGAAAGUACUGAAUAAAAUAAUAUUCAUCAUAAGCAGCAUUUCUUUCAUUACAUUUUCUUCAUUGGAAGAGGGUCUUAUAAUUUAAGAAAAUAUUAGCAGCAACAGCAAGAAGGCUCUGUGAGUCAAAGAUGCGCUAGAUGCAUCAUUUGUGUAUAGCUCUCCCCCUGGUGAUAUCAGAUGUUCUGAGAAAGCCCACAGCCCCAUCAUAAAUACUAAUAAACUAGUCCUAGUAAACCUCGAUGCUUUCUGAUUCAGAACAUCUUGAAAAAUGCUUCAGGACUUCUGGAGAAAGACUCCAGAAGAUGUACUAUGAUGUACCCAGAAAAAAACUAUACAUAUUUAGAGGUUUUACAGUAAGACUGUUGGGUCUUCUUUCUCUGAGACUGCCCAUACUCAUACAGAUUCAUUGUAAGGUGGAUUUUUUUUCCUCAGGCAGAAAAUAUGCAACAGAGAACUCUUAAAAUAGUAACAUGGCAGUGACCUGUUUUUAGUACUUCCAUGCUUAUUUCUAGAUCCAUUGUACACGCUGUAAUGAACAUCAUAAUGAACAUUCAGAAGUUUAGCAGAGAAAAGCCAUCAAUAACUGGCAGAAAUGCAUUUGCUCACAUGCUGAAUGCAACAUUCAGCUAGCUAGGAGAUGGGAAAAAACAAGUGCUGAGCCAGGGCCAGAGCUGUAGAGCACUUCACCUGCACUGGUGAGAGCUACUGGAGUGCAUGAAAGGAGCUAGUGACCAGCCCAGAGCAGGCAUGCUUUGGCCUCUUUGCUUAAUGUUGUCUAAAUAACAAAAAAUAUCUGCAGUGGCUUUGAUGACUAAUGCAGAACUGCUAUGGGUAUGGAUGGAAAAGGUGAAGACUCUGGGCUGGCUUUCUACUUGCAGAAGUUGCAUUCAGUAACGGGAUUGAAGCAUAUUGGAAAAGAGCACCAGGAAGCUCAUAGUGUGUCUUUCCUAAGGGCUCUGCCAUUACGAUAUUUACAAACACCAAGAUGUAUCAUAGUAACAAGUAUAAAAUAGAACUAUGAUCUUUCUACUAUCUUGUCUACCUCAGAAAGGUCAACCAUUCUGUCUGGGAAGAAAAAAACCAAACAACCCUUCAGCAUUUAGUAGGCUUUUGUAAAGCUGGGAGUAAGUUGUUUGAUUCCAAAAGUAAAAAUUGGAAGUGAUUUAUUAAUAAACAUGGGUUAUUUUUGCUAGUUUAGCAGCUUUUUUAAGAAAGCUGUGUUUAUCUUUGACAACUAGUCACUGUUGUAUAGCCUGUCUUCCUCCACAUACAUGUUUUUCUGAGAGAACUUCAAGAGCACUGGAGCCUGUCAACAACAAAUGGUCUGAUUACGUACUUCCAUUUUACAAUAAAUUGCUAACUUCUAGAAAAGAAACUGUUUUCAAGUAAUUGGGAGUAUAAUACAAACUUCUUUGAAGAACUUCAAGGAUAAGGAAAAGACAAAUAGAUUUUAUUUUUUAAUAAACACUUAAUAUAUCCAGCAGUGCUUAAGAAAGUACAUAUGGAAAAGAAAUGUGGACAUCUGGCAAUUGAGUGUAAUGCCUGGUUUGCUAGAGGGACAUUUCAGCUAUGCAUUUCUCUUUCAAGGCCUGUGCCAAAAAUCAAGUCAGCCUUGCAGUGGCAUUUACAUUUUGUAGAAAGUGUGUCACUGGAAACUACUAAGCCACCUUUUUCCUAAACAGACCAUCAAUUCCCAACUGCAAAGCAUUCGUUAGCGCCAGAGUGCAAGUGUUAAUAAAGGAAUAAAAGUGGAACUGUCAAUAAGGAACCACACGUUCGAGCAGUGUUCUUUUAUUUUAGCCAAAGUAAGCCAGUUUUGCACUUCCUUACCACUGAAAUUACUUUCUGAGUCAGUUCGGCAAAGAAACAAACUUACGGUGCCGAAGAACACAGUUGCUUCUAUCCUCAAGUCUCUGAAUCACUUGCUUGCUCCUGCUAGCUAAUAGUAACUAUUUUUAGUUUAUGGCGGAAACUUCUCUCAUGGUGGCAAUGAUAUUUCAAAACAAUUUGGAAGCAAAAUCGUCUGUGUGUGUGGCGUUGCGCAGAGGCUGCGCUCGGUGCACACGCCUUGCUGCUCGCUGCUGGCGCCAGCAGGCCGGGUCAGCCUCACGCAGGCCAUGCGGCAUUUGCUGGCUCUUUCCUCACUGCCCGUAAGACUUCUGGGGUCAUGUUUGUAAACACUGGAACCACGUGCGUAAGCACGUGGUGAAGCAUCAAAACCGGCCAGGGCGCCAGGCAGAGAGGCAAACCUUGGCGCCGGAUCGAUGUCGCUGAGCCGGCUUGCGCCAACUCUCUUGCGCCAACUCUCUGACCGGCACGCUGCCCUCACGGCCACGUGGGAUGGGCUGGCGGGUUGGCAGGAGGGCACAGCGGGAACCUUCUCCCUGUGUGUGGCACAGGUGGGCCCGUGCUAGCGUUGGUGGUGUCAAGGCACGUUCCUUUGCUCGGCGGUGAGCAAAUGGCAGGGCUUUGAAACAUUCUCACGGCAAACAAAACUCAUUUCUGCCCUCAGUGAAACUGAGGGACCGGCGUAGUCCCUCAACACAAUGCAAAACUAUGGCUGUUAGGGAAGAGAAUUGUAUAGGGGCACGUUGCCAAUGUUUCUGAAAUGACUUCAAGGACAGAUAACCGAGACGUCGUGUCUGUAAUAGCUUUUUGCUGGCUUUGCACCAAUGAAACUAAGACCGUGUUUCAGACAUUUGGGGAAGUAACUCCUAAAUUAUUCCUGUUUAUCAGCAGAGGUUGCACAAAGCCAGAUAUGGCCAGCACAAACAAAAGUCAUGAGUCUUUCAUUUCCUCUUCAGGAGAAAUUAGCAGAUACGGCUCCCAAAGCCUAUGGAAAGUUUCAUCUCACCCUGGCCGCACACUUCACGUGCUUGGAGUAGAACCAGGCAGGAGGGGGAACAGCCCGUGGCAGAUGUCCCUCCCUCCUCUACCAUUCUGUUUCAAGUGCAGCUGUAAGUCUUGUUUGCUUUGACCUUUGCUGGGAGAGCUGAGAAUAGGACAAAGAGUUAAAGUGUUACCAGUCCCUGCUGAGUUUGCACUUCUCAGGCCGGCAAGCCAGCGGCGGCUGUGAGCGGGCAAGCGUGCAGCACGGCAGAGGGGGCCGGGAGGGAGCGAAACAAAAGGGGAAGAACAAAUAGUGCACACCCUGAAACACAACAGGGGAACCGGUGUGGAAAAAUGUCUGUCUUUGAAGAGAACAGGCUUUUCUGUUUGUUUCUCUCUGUGUGUUCUAUCUGGUUAUCUGAACUCAAGGUACAGUAGAUACAUGAGUCCUUGAACUCCGAACUCAUGAGGAGAGAGGCAAAAAGUAAGUCAAUACAUUUCAGCUGAGCCUGGAAAUAAGCAUGCUUUGUCUCCGUGUGACCCAGCUAUGGGAGGCCAUUUAAUACCACAACGCACAGCUGUCCAAACCUCUUUCUUGCUGAAUGCCAUUGGCCUGCAAAAACAAAGCAAAACCAAGCAGUCCUCUCCUAAGGAUACUGCAACUGUAGGUUCAAACACCAGCUGCUCCAAGCACCUUGCAUUUUGUCAAGACCUGUCCCUUCAGUCUGGAGGGAAAGGGGUCCCAGGCUCGUUAAGGGGAAAAAGAAAAGGCACCCAUUCAUUUCCUUUCUGAAACUCUGCCCUACUGUAAGCGUUACCCAAUUCCUGAGCAAUGUCUCUGGAAAGCAGAAAAGUACCUUCCUCGCUGUUGCAUGUGCGUCUAGCUAGCGCUCUCCAGCGCUACUACUCUAUCGAGCAAUAAAGUUUCUAUUUUUGACUCACUGUGGACAACCUUGCUCUAAAGCGUCGGACUGCACGUUGCCUAAACGUAGAACGAGCAAACCCAGAGGCACCAGUGGCCUCCGUCAGAGCUGCAUCUUGCUGUGACUGGUGCAGGCGAGAAAUGGGCUGGCACACGGUGCGCCGCGGCAGUGAGGCCCAGCCGUGUGGCACCCUCCAGCAUGUCACAGUGUUUGUAAACACCGCCACCACGUGCGUGAGCCACGUGGGACCCGGCUGCCAAACCUCAAAACUGCCUGAGGAUGAGAGAGAACUGGGAGGAGUGAGCAGGCAACCCCCUGUGCUACCUCCCCAUCUUUCUGUGGGGCGGCGUGCCGCACGGCUGGAUCUGUAAACAUGGUGGGGAAAAUCCAUCUGUCCUUCAUGGUCAACUGCUUCUGUCAGCAUCCAAGGGAAUGCUGCCGAGCUAAAUUACCCAUCGGAUUUUAUUUCCGAAAGCACUUCAUCAUGGCUCAUAUCAUGAGUCUCUGAAGGCACUGAAAUUCCCUGAGGCAGGCUCCUGGCUCGGCGUCCUAUGGACCAAAAUGGGGAGCCUGAGCUGUGGCUGCUCACGGCAAAGAACUCCCAAUGACCAAAGGACAGCAUUACGAUUUACCAUCUGCAAUUCAAGUCUGCUGCAUGAAAAGUUCCAAAUGCUCCUAGGGUUGUGUCACCAACACAGGUCUGUGCAGAGAGGCUUUCUGGCAGCAAAUUACAUUUGUGUUUUGGUUUUUUUUUAAUUCUUCUUUGAGCUCCUUUACCAAGUAUGAUGUCAGUGUGAGGGUUUGUGAACCCGGACGAGCCAUUAGUUGAUAAAGCAGAUCAAAACGGGACUCGUGUGGUAGGUUGGGGCUGGCAUAUAGGACAGUUUGCAGACUGUGGGAAAUCCUGCCUGAAUGAAUAGGAGGAUCAAGGGUAUUAAAGGUUAAUGGGAGUUACUGGAGUACCUACUUACUGAAAUGGCAUUACACAACUCCGUCCCACACAUUGCAAUUAACCGACGCAACAUACUAUUUUUAAUUAUAAAUUAGCUCAUUGUGAGAUUCUGCUUGUUUGUUUGGAAGUGCAUGGAAACAUCUGCAGCACCAGAGAGGCUGCUAACACCCUUCUCUGCACCUUUUCUCACUUCAGUCAGGGGUUUCAUGGGUCAAAGCACAACAGAAAAGCAGUCCUCUUCACUGAGGAGAUGAAUGAAGUUCUCAAGGUACAAUUUGCUGGGUUGUGCAGGACAAGUGCUGCUGCUUUAAAAGUUCUGAUGUUUGGCCAGCAAAACAAACAAACAAACCAACAGCAACAGAAGAAAAACACCAAAACUAAAAAACUGAAUGUGUUGUCAAUUAACAGAAAAUGUUACUGAAAAACAGCUUCUGAAGAAAGUGAAAAGCCACUUGUUUCUGAUUCAAGUUUCUGUUUCUUAGAAUUGAUACUUCUGUUAUCUUAGUAAGCAGAGAAAACUAUCUGUAAAGCUCUGAAUGAGCAGGAAGGAGGGUAUCAUGGGUAGAGCACUGGGGCAUAGGAGAUACCGGUUCACUUCCCAGCUACACCACAGCUUUCCUGUAUGUCUUUUAGGUUUUCUUCUAAAGUACUGAAAUGAAUGGCUCCAGCAGAGUUUGUACCACGUUUUGUGAGCUUUGGCUCUCAGUUGUUCUUAUUAAUUCUACACACUUUCCCUUACUCCAUGCAUGUUUUGCCUUCUCAUUAAUACUACCCCAGCGAAAAGACUGCUGGGACUUCUCUUCAUAUGCAUGCACAGAGCAGGUAGCAAUAGCAGCUUAGCUUUAUUUACCGCAAAUAUUUAGGUUUUUGGAAGGCAGCUGUCUGCCUCUGCUUUGCUUUAUAAACAAACGACAUUCUGACAUCCUGACAUUCUGGUCCUCGUGCACUGCCAGGCUUCCUUUUUCUGUCACUGCCUCCUUCACCGAGUUAAGCCACUUUUGUUCCCUUUUGCUGCUUAUGUUUGUACAGCCCUGAGCGCAGUGGGACUCUUGUUUCGUGGCUGGGAUAUGAGGUGCCUCCUAAUGCGCAAUAAUUAAUUUCACUCUAUCCACUCUCCCUGUAUUUAGAAGCAUCAGAUUUGCCAUCGCAAAUGCGACUCAUGCUGCAGCUUGCCCAACAAAGCACCUCCAAGCAGCCAGUAGCAGUUGCUUCAAGAAAAAGCAGCUGUUCAGCAAGUAGUUACAGACUCACCCUUCCAGAAGCAAAACUUCUUUUCACCCCAUCAAUUAGGAUAUGUAUUUUCUAGGAAACAUGUUAACUUGCAAAUGCUUUGGAAACUUUUAUUUUUAAACAAUAAUAAAUAAAUACAUCCAUCUCUAUAUGCACUUUCCCACCCAUUUCCUUCCCCUUACCACCAAAAGGGCGAAAAGUACCCCCAGACUUAUUUUUUUCGGUUGCUACAGUGCAAGGAGAUGCUCCUGCCACUCUAUCUGCAUAGGGCAACUGUUACAGCUCUGCAAAGCACAGGGGCUGCCAUCAGUUCACAGGAUCACAAGUCAGCUGACAGCACCGGGGGUGGGGGAAGAAAAAAGCCACCUGUACCUAACAUGUUGUCAACUGCACAACAUAAGCACAGUGGAAAAUUGCAUAAGAAGAUGUAUUUUCCCCUACCUAACCUCUUCCACUUCUCAGGCACUACAUGUAAUAAUGGAGAGAAAGGAAAUGCAUCAGCAUAGUUCUUAUUCUUCCCACUUCUUUCUCGUACCUUCAAAAGGUUCUUCUGUGCAAUAAGAAGAACUACGCAGAAGCGGAAAAGCUCAGGUCUAGACUUUUUUAAAAAGCACAAAUGCUCCAUGGAAAGGAGAGUGGCACAGAAACAGUGAAAAGCUGAAAGACCAUUUUUCUCUUUUGUGCAUUUUUCGUGUUUAUAAAUACCAAGAGUGCAUUGCCCUCUUUGCUCACUGUUUUCAGUCGCUCCUGCAAACUAACUGUGUGAAAUGUGGACUCACUAGCACUGAUUUUUUUUCUCUCCAAAAUGUCUGCCAGUUACAGGAAAUACACAGGGGUUAAAAAUCCAGCCUUUCCCAGUUGCUCACCUUGAAAGCAAAGUGGAAAAGACAGCGAAGGAGCAGAGUGGGAAUGAAAGGCUCAUCUUUUAGAAAUAUAAAUCAAUAAACAAAACAUGAGGGUCUUUAUUACACACAUGCACUCCCACUUCCCCUAGUAUCAGAGAAAAGAAGGUCCAAUAAAUCCUCCAGCUUUCAUCUGUUCUCUUUCAGGGAUGAACUGCACUCCUUUUUCUUAAGCCAUACUUUCACUUUAAGCUUCAUGGUAAUCUUUCAUCUGUGUGAACUUCAGUGACUUUGGCAACCACCAACUUUCCUGCAGCAGCUCAUUCUCCUUGUUUUACCAGGUCAGUAAUGCUGCUUUUGCACAGGAGGAAAUAUGCAGUCGUUCUUUUCUCCUUUCUGCUUACAUAAGAGCAGAAGGAGUUGUAUGUCCUUUGACAAGCAUAAAAAUUAGAUAACUGCAAAGUACGUGACUUCAGACACAAGUGAAGGAGCACCGAGAGAACAAACAAGUUAAACAAAAAUGAAACAAGUAUCAGGAGUGCAAGGGUGAGUGCUGUGUGAACACUCGUGUAUAGUACAAAGGAACGAAUAGGGAGGGAGGUGAUUAAAGGACACUGAAGUUGAGGGCAAAACUCCAGUGUCAGCAUCAGGAACAGGGGUAAUGUUUGCCCUUUGAUCCCUGUAACAGCACUAAAAGUGGCAAGAGGAGGAACAGGUAGUGCAAACUCAGAAAUGCCUUUUUCAUAUAUUUUCUUAUCUGUUCUCAAUUUUGGCUCGCUGCCUUCUGCUAGCACAGUGGCUGCAAGAGUGAUGGCAACUGUGGAUCAAAAAAGUCAGAGAAGAAAACAAAAGAAGGUGAAGAGUUUGGUGAAACAAAAGCACAUCCUGGAUGUGACACAAACCAUUGUGCCCAGCGAAGAAGAGGACUGAAGAGAAAGAAACCAGUGGAGUGCAGUAACAAAAUACGCUGAUCAUAAUCAAUGCUUGUGUGAAAUGAAGCAACUCGUGCAAACAUACAACUAAUGUCAAAAGUUACAUGUGUCACAAGUGCACUGGCCUUCAAACUCUGUUGUAUGAUAGUGAAUGCCAUGACUCAUGUAGACAAAUUCAGAAUAAGGAAGAGACACUUGUACCAACCUCUCUGUAUGGAAAAGAAACAGCUCUUGGGACACGUUUUGCAAAGGGAGUGAUGCACUCUAUACACCCUCCCAAGCGCUCGCUGCAAACCUGCACGAGGGAGUCUGAAAAACGUGCACAGGAUGAGAUACGGUGCACAUGGCACAGGUGUGAGUAGUCUCCUCCGAUCAGAACCCGUCUGACAGCUUCGGCUAGGUCUACAGGAGAUGGCACCAGGAAUAUUGCCAGCUGGGUGCUUCUGGACAAUGAGAUGCAUUUUUGUCUGUGCUUCCUGAAGCCAUCUUGCAAGACGGCCCCGAUAAUUACCAACACUUUAAAACAAAAAAAUCCCAGCAGAUUGGUGGCAUGAUUCUACUGGUUGAGCAAGUGCCGAAAUCUCCACUGAGCUUCUUAAGCCUAAUGGAGAUCUCAAACUUGCCUUGCAGUGGUGUUGGCUUUUGUAAUAGUGACACCUCUUUGUGUCAACACAUCUCAUUAAGUAAUAAAGACUUUCAGCUAUUUGAUUUUACUUACGAAAUUAGUAGCAUUCAUGAUUAUUUCUUAUUUAUUUUUUUCAAGAGGAAAAAAAAAAGUGCUACUACUUGAGCAGGCAGGGAGUCAUGCCUAAUUAAUGAAAAAAUAUAUUAACAACUUACAGUGGGAUUCAUGUACCGCUAAGAGCUGUUUGUCACGAAAGCUUUUGGGACUGGAUUCCUCAUAUGCUUCUGAAAAGGGAAUGGGGAGGAAUCAUUUGAAACCUUUGUAACAGUUCCCUUAACCAUGUCUUGUACUCUGGGUCAGCCCAUUCCAACGCAUUCAAGUGCAGGGGAAAACGGGGGCAUUGGAGAAAGGAGCCAACGACCUAGAAUGGAACACAGAGGCAGCAAGCCCAGCCAAAAAACCAGCUACAAUGUUUUCUUAAACUCCACGUGCUGGAUUUCUUCCCCUUGCUCCCAUGAGGAGUGGGGACAUUCCUAGAACUCCGGGCUGCGUCAGGGCAGCUGCCCAGGAUGCUGGGACACUGUUUGUAAACACUCAGCCACGUGCGCGCGGCCGCGUGGAGCCAUCGCCGACCUCAGCACCUACCCACUGCGUAGGCUGCCGCGUCACUGCACUGGCGCCAAAUCCUUCCCCAACACGACAGGACUUGGAGCAGCUCGUGCCAGGACACUUGGAAGACAGAGCUUGGGCUCUUCAUGCGUUAUUAGAGGGAAGAUUAAGCGGAAGAAUUGCUUAAGUUUUAGUCACCAAAAUGUAACAUUCAAGAUAACGUAGCUCAUGAAAAGUAAAGAAUGCAGAAAUCGUUGGAAUAUGUUAGAGGUCAGAAGUGAUGCUAUGAAACACAUGAGGGUAUUUCAUGUUGCUUAAGUUGCAUCAUCAUAAUUAACCAGAAAAUGCCCAGGGUACUGCCCUGUACCUGUGGAAGGGGUUUCCAAUGGGUACCUUGUGGUUAUCGAGUUAUUCUUGGUUAUGUUAACUCACUGCUUUGCUCCCUGAUCUGAGAGGAACAUAAACACUUUUCCUAAUACAACAUGCUUUCUAUGAAAUCAGAUUUCCCUUUUUGUUUCUUUUUUUACAACUAAGAAAAGAAAAAAAACAAACAAAAAUCACAUUCUCAUCCAGGACCAUAGAGGCUUUUUCACAGUUCCAUCUUGAUAGCAAAGCUUGGAAAGUUUCUCUGGUAAAUGGAAUCAUACAGACUGUGGAAGCACUUGCCUUUACCUCAUCAUGAAAUUCUUAAUUGUUUCAGCAUUCAGAUACAUUUCUGAGGAAACAAGCCUUUUAUAUACUAGUAGCGGGAGAAACUAUCUUAAAAGCCAUGCUUUACUUGGUUAGGAAAACUCAGCAUUUCCAUCCUGUCUUGUUCAGUUCAAGUAUAGGAUAAGUCUGUUCUUCUACAGACUGCAACAGAAAUGCUGCAUGUAUUUUAUUUAUUUAUUUUUAGACAAGGUUGGCUUGUUGCUUGUUUCUAGAGGCACAAACACAACAAGAAUUAGGUCAAACCGAAGCCUCAAUGCUACAAGCCUUUAUUUAUUUGUGAGAAUAAUCCUACUGGAGUUUCUCAUCAUACGUAUGCUAUAAGGCAACAACACUCCAACUUGGCACACCCCCCGCCCCCCAGAAAUGUGGGCUUAAAAGGAGAACCUGAGUUCUGUUUGGGUUGCUGAGAUGAUUCAGCUUUUUAGAAGGUGUUUGACAGAGAUGAACAAGCAUCCAUGAAAAGAGAGUCAGCAAUUUAAAUCUUUAAGUUUUUUAAUUGUGAACCUGUUCUUCAAAGCACAGCAACUCUUUUUGGUGCCACCAGAUUUACAAUCCUUUAGUAUCAACAACUAGUGGUGCUUUCUGAUGCUCUUAACAGACAGGACAUUUUUGUUCCCUCGUUUCACGAGCACUGAGAGAGAUGUGGCUGAAGUUAGCUGCUACUUAUUCCUAUGCUUCUAGUCUUGCUUUUCUCUACCUUCUGUCAGCCCCUGCUACAUAGCAUGAGACAUACUCCCAGUACUCUAAUCCAAACAACUUUUCAGGUCAGUCAUCAGCUGUCCUUGGGAUUAGUCCAGUUGAUGCUGGAGCUUCACCGUUUUAUUCCUUAACCCCUCCAUCUCCGCCUCCACACACUGAGCAAUUCCUUGAGAAAUGGGUGGUUGUUUUUUUCCUCUCCAUUUUUAAGAGGUUUGUCUGCCCUCAGGGAAGGCAGAAGUGAUUUCCUUUCAAUGGGUGACUGAGAAGAUGAUUACUCAUGGUACUUUCCAUUUCUAACACUUUAUUGCCUAGGAUAUAGGGACAAGCUAUGCAAAUUGCACACGCAAUCAGUGACGAUCUGAAAGCAUACCAGCUUGAACUGUGGCAACUUGUUACUAGUUACUUGUUCAGUGUUUAAAAGGAUACAUUUCCUACAGAAUAUCAUUACAUGAGUAAGAAGGUACUCACUGCCUUACGGAGAAUGAGAUGGGAAAAAUGCUGCAAGUGUGAUUGAUUCAUAUAAUUCCCUUUUUGGCUCUCAGCCAUGAUGCAGUCAUAUGCUUUAUCUCUAUUCAGACUACAGCUUUAAAAAAAAAAUAAAACAUGAAUCAUAGUACAUCCCACUCCAUUUCAGAACCAGCACGCUGCCUUUCAAAGUGAUGUCACAAUGCUCACUGCUGCUGGCUGACUGCCUUAGCAGCAAUCUGAGAGCUGGACUAAACAAAUACUGUAUAUUAUUUGGCAAAAUCAUUUGUGGUUGUGUUCCCCAGCACUGUUUCCAAGAUAACCACCAACUCUACUUGAAACUUGGCAACUUUGUCCCACCGCAUUCAGGCUCCAGUUGUGAAGCUGGCUCACAGAGGCUGUUACCACGCUUCCAGCUCCCGUGCGGUGCUCCACGAGCGAGGCAGGAGGCUCACCCUGAUAAGCCAGGAGCCCAAUGCCUACAAGUUGGAACGAAACGGAGCAGGUGAUUUAAAGCUCAGCCACGCUCUGUAAGAAGCACUCUGCUGGGUCGGUAACAUCACCGCAACCCAAACUCCACAAUUUUUUCAACAUCCAAACAGCAGAUUUGUUCCAAAGCAUGGGGUUUUUCCUUUAGAGCCACUUGGCCAUUGCUAACCUAGAAAAGAACCAUAUGGGACACCGCAUCCCAGCACAUCUGAAACACGCAGGAUAAGAGAAUGGUCCCUUCUGGUGCCGGCAGCAGCCAGAGAGCCUCCUGACUCUGCAUGCAGAAACCCAAACAUUCACAGCCUCCCACUUCUGUCACCCAACGCAGCGCUGGUGCCAGCACGAGACCUUGGAAGUCUGUCCGUCAUAAUACAGCUCCUCAGUGGGCA